rnacentral:rRNA from 1 species
UACGGAGGGAGCUAGCGUUGUUCGGAAUUACUGGGCGGAAAGCGCGCGUAGGCGGCUUUGUAAGUUAGAGGUGAAAGCCCGGGGCUCAACCCCGGAAUUGCCUUUAAGACUGCAUCGCUUGAAUCCGGGAGAGGUGAGUGGAAUUCCGAGUGUAGAGGUGAAAUUCGUAGAUAUUCGGAAGAACACCAGUGGCGAAGGCGGCUCACUGGACCGGCAUUGACGCUGAGGUGCGAAAGCGUGGGGAGCAAACAGG